rnacentral:rRNA from 1 species
AACGAACGCUGGCGGCAUGCCUAACACAUGCAAGUCGAACGAUUGCCUUCGGGUGAUAUUGGCGCACGGGUGCGUAACGCGGGGGAAUCGGCCCUUAGAUUCGGAAUAACAGUUGGAAACGGCUGCUAAUACCGGAUGAUAUCGCGAGAUCAAAGAUUUAUCGCCGGAGGAUGAGCCCGCGUUGGAUUAGGUAGUUGGUGGGGUAAAGGCCUACCAAGCCGACGAUCCAUAGAUGGUCUGUGAGGAAGAUCAGACACACUGGGACUGAGACACGGCCGAGACUCCUACGGGAGGCAGCAGAGGGGGAUAUUGGACAAUCGGCGCAAGCAUGAACCAGCAAGGCCGCGAGAGUGAUGAAGGCGCUAGGGUUGUAAAGCACGUUUAUCCGGGAAGAUAAUGACGGUACCGGAAGAAUAAGCCCCGGCUAACUCCGUG